rnacentral:rRNA from 1 species
UGGGCGUAAGCGCACGCAGGCGGUCUGUCUAGUCGGAUGUGAAAUCCCCGGGCUCAACCUGGGAACUGCAUUCGAAACUGGCAGGCUAGAGUCUUGUAGAGGGGGGUAGAAUUCCAGGUGUAGCGGUGAAAUGCGUAGAGAUCUGGAGGAAUACCGGUGGCGAAGGCGGCCCCCUGGACUGAGACUGACGCUCAGGUGCGAAAGCGUGGGGAGCAAACAGGAUUAGAUACCCUGGUAGUCCACGCCGUAAACGAUGUCUACUUGGAGGUUGUGCCCUUGAGGCGUGGCUUCCGGAGCUUACGCGUUUAGUCGACCGCCUGGGGAGUACGGGCGCCAGGUUAGAACUCCAAUGAAUUGGCGGGGGCCCGCACCAGCGGUGGAACAUGUGGUUUAAUUCCAUGCAACGCGAAGAACCUUACCUACUCUUGGCAUCCAUAGAACUUAGCAGAGAUGCUUUGGUGCCUUCCGGAACUCUG